UGGGGAAUAUUGGACAAUGGAGGAAACUCUGAUCCAGCAAUUCUGUGUGUGUGAAGAAGGUUUUAGGACUGUAAAACACUUUUAGUAGGGAAGAAAAAAAUGACGGUACCUACAGAAGAAGCAACGGCUAAAUACGUGCCAGCAGCCGCGGUAAUACGUAUGUUGCGAGCGUUAUCCGGAAUUAUUGGGCUUAAAGGGCAUCUAGGCGGUAAGACAAGUUGAAGGUGAAAACCUGUGGCUCAACCAUAGGCUUGCCUACAAAACUGUUGAACUAGAGUACUGGAAAGGUGGGUGGAACUACACGAGUAGAGGUGAAAUUCGUAGAUAUGUGUAGGAAUGCCGAUGAGGAAGAUAACUCACUGGACAGAAACUGACGCUGAAGUGCGAAAGCUAGGGGAGCAAACAGG
rnacentral:rRNA from 1 species